UAAGCCCUGCUCAGAAGUCAAGAGCAGCAGCGCCGCCGCCUCAGCGCGGCCUUUCAUGACGCGGUCGCUCCUUAUUCUUGUGCCUCGGCCUCUCUGGUCGCCCCGGGACAAAGCCAUCGGAGCCCGGCCGCUCCCUUCCCGCUAAAUCCCCUUCGGGGUCAAUGCUCUACCAGCACCGGGCCGCGCGCUUCUCCUGCCAGCCGUGUGGCUCUUAAAGAGCCGUACCACCCCCCUCCGUCCUGCGCGCUCCCCUGACCCCCGCCUCCCCGCCCCUCUCCUCUGGAUCUAGCCCCCCACGCCGACGCCUUAGGUCCCUGCUGCCCCGAC
rnacentral:lncRNA from 1 species